CCACAUCUAAGAAAGAAGAGCUAUACGUUAUAGAAUAGAGCACACAUAAAUAGAAAACUAAAACAAGCAGAAACAGGCAAUUUCACAGUUUAUAAAAAUUUAUUCGCUUUUUGCUAUUAAGAUUAGUAAGUUGGUAAGCAAAAGUAUCUGAAUACCAUCUGGUAAUGAGCUUUAUCAAGUCAUAGUCUAAAGCUAAACCGGCAUCUCAGGUCACCGGUAUUAUAUUUUUGUAUGUGUAUGACAAAAGUAAGCGAUAUGUAUUGGCUUAUGGCAAAGUUUUCUAGUAAGCCUAUUCUACACCCUGACCAAGAUCGUGAACUGGCUAAAGAGUAAGACAUUUGUCAUCUAUACUCUCGAUGGCUUAUUCAAAAUUGGUUUUCAAAAUGGAAUUUCGGAAGGGUUAGUUCACACAUCAGUAUUGGUUAAUUCACAAAUACAUUCAAUUGGUAAACAGAAGGGUAUCUGAGAGUCUUUGUCGCGGAAUCGUGAUCACUCAUCGCACUUCAGCGUAUCUACCAAAUGCACACACGUAUCUUACCUGUGCUCCCGAUGAUAAGCGCAAAUAGACAAAACAAACAACAACUUGCUAACAAUUAUAAAUGAUUAGAUCGCUUUUUGGAGCGUUCACUUCGCGGACAGUUCUUUAACAGUAUAUUUUGUCUUCGCUUUAGCUACCAUACGCAUACGCCAAACUGAACGCCUUUUCCCAUAAUGAUUCGCUCGAUCGUUCGAACUUCGAAGCCAAGUUAGAGGAAGGGUACAUGAGUUGUAUAUGAUUCAGAAAAGCAAACUGGUCAGAUGCAAAAACUCACAUCUUCUACGUAGCACCUGCAAUCAAAACUGACAACACCGAUUUGGAUAGCAAUGAAUGAGCACUAAAACUUUUCUGUACACUAUACAUAAUGGUUAAACUUCACCCACAGCCGAGGGUAUUAUUUAUUUACAGAGGCAACUUUUUAAUUUACAGAAAGGGACAUGGCGGAUUUUUCACAAAAUAUUUUCCAGGGCUAGUCAGCGUCUAGUUUUAAUGUACAUUUAUUUUCCGGCCAUUACACAUAGUGUA